GCGCGGAUAGUCGAGCCCGGCGAACUGCGGUUCGCUGAGCAUGAACGGCGUGUGCCGCUGUUCAAUCGGCAGGCCGCGCA
rnacentral:tRNA from 1 species